rnacentral:rRNA from 1 species
AGAGUUUGAUCAUGGCUCAGAUUGACGCUGGCGGAAUGCUUNACACAUGCAAGUCGAACGGCAGCACGGGGGCAACCCUGGUGGCGAGUGGCGAACGGGUGAGUAAUACAUCGGAACGUGCCCAGUNGUGGGGGAUAANUACGCGAAAGCGUAGCUAAUACCGCAUACGAUNUACGGAUGAAAGCGGGGGAUCGCAAGACCUCGCGCGAUUGGAGCGGCCGAUGGCAGAUUAGGUAGUUGGUGGGGUAAAGGCUCACCAAGCCGUCGAUCUGUAGCUGGUCUGAGAGGACGACCAGCCACACUGGGAUUGGGACACGGCCCAGACUCCUACGGGAGGCAGCAGUGGGGAAUUUUGGACAAUGGGCGCAAGCCUGAUCCAGCCAUUCCGCGUGCAGGAUGAAGGCCCUCGGGUUGUAAACUGCUUUUGUACGGAACGAAAAAGCUCUUUCUAAUACNGAGAGUC